GCCCUUGUAGUAUAUUGGUAUUACAGUUGCCUUGUAAGCAUCAAAAGAAGGUUCGAUUCCUUACUGGGGCACCA
rnacentral:tRNA from 1 species